AGAGUUUGAUCCUGGCUCAGGACGAACGCUGGCGGCGUGCUUAACACAUGCAAGUCGAACGGAAAGGCCCUUCGGGGUACUCGAGUGGCGAACGGGUGAGUAACACGUGGGUGAUCUGCCCUGCACUCUGGGAUAAGCCUGGGAAACUGGGUCUAAUACCGGAUAGGACCACACACUUCAUGGUGAGUGGUGCAAAGCUUUUGCGGUGUGGGAUGAGCCCGCGGCCUAUCAGCUUGUUGGUGGGGUAAUGGCCCACCAAGGCGACGACGGGUAGCCGGCCUGAGAGGGUGACCGGCCACACUGGGACUGAGAUACGGCCCAGACUCCUACGGGAGGCAGCAGUGGGGAAUAUUGCACAAUGGGCGCAAGCCUGAUGCAGCGACGCCGCGUGAGGGAUGACGGCCUUCGGGUUGUAAACCUCUUUCAGUAGGGACGAAGCGAAAGUGACGGUACCUACAGAAGAAGGACCGGCCAACUACGUGCCAGCAGCCGCGGUAAUACGUAGGGUCCGAGCGUUGUCCGGAAUUACUGGGCGUAAAGAGCUCGUAGGUGGUUUGUCGCGUUGUUCGUGAAAACUCACAGCUUAACUGUGGGCGUGCGGGCGAUACGGGCAGACCAGAGUACUGCAGGGGAGACUGGAAUUCCUGGUGUAGCGGUGGAAUGCGCAGAUAUCAGGAGGAACACCGGUGGCGAAGGCGGGUCUCUGGGCAGUAACUGACGCUGAGGAGCGAAAGCGUGGGUAGCGAACAGGAUUAGAUACCCUGGUAGUCC
rnacentral:rRNA from 1 species